GGAGUAGUAGCUUAGUGGUAGAGGGCUUGCCCAUCAUGUGUCAUGAGGCACUGAGUUCGAUUCUCAGCACUUCA
rnacentral:tRNA from 1 species